rnacentral:rRNA from 1 species
GACGAACGCUGGCGGCGUGCUUAACACAUGCAAGUCGAACGGUGAAGCGCCUUCCUUUUUGGUGGGUGUGGAUGAGUGGCGAACGGGUGAGUAACACGUGAGUAACCUGCCCCCUUCUUCUGGAUAACCGCAUGAAAGUGUGGCUAAUACGGGAUAUUCUGGGCCUGUCGCAUGAUGGGUCUGGGACAGAUAUUGUUUCGGUUGGGGAUGGGCUCGCGGCCUAUUAGCUUGUUGGUGGGGUGAUGGCCUACCAAGGCGGUGAGUGGUAGCCGGCCGUGGAGGAUGGACCGUCCCGCAGGGGCUAAGACACCGCGCAGACUCCUAGGGGAGGCAGCAGGGGAGAUUAUGGCACAGUGGGCAGAAGGCUGGUGCAGCGACGCCGGGGGAGGGAUGGAGGCCUGCGGGUUGUGAACCUCUUUCGCGAGUGAAGCAGGGCUGCCUCGUGUGUGGGUGGGUUGACGGUAGCUGGACAAGAAGCGUCGGCUAACUACGUG